GUGAGUGACAGUUUUUAAAUCCAUUACCAUUAGAAAACCACAGGUUUUAAGAAAAUUUUAUUUUCCAUUUAUAUUGAGGUACAAUUGACAUAUAGUAAAUUUCACCCUUUUAAGCACACAGUUCUUAGAAUUUUGAAAUACAGUUAUGUAACCACCACCACAAUCAAGAUACACAACAGUGCCAUCGGCCCCUAAAAUUCCCCCAUGCCUCUUUUGUAACCAUCCCCUCUUCAAACCGCAGCCCUUGGCAACCACUAAUCUGUUUUUCUUCCUGUAGUUUGGCUUUCUUAAGAAUGUCGUAUAAACUGAGUCAUGGAGUAGGUAGCCCUUGGUAUCCUGCUUCUUUCAGCUAGCAUAAUGCAUGUGAGAUCCAUUCAUGCUGUUGUGCAAAACAGUAGUUUGUUUCUUUUUAUUGCUGAGUAAGGAUUUUAUUGUAUGGAAUGUACCAGUUUGUUUAUCCAUUCUCCAGUUGAGAAACAUUUGGGUAGUUUUUAGUUCCUGGUGAUGACAGAUAAAGCUGCUGCAAACAUUCAUGUGCAUAUUUUCGUGAGGAUGUAGUUUUCAUUUCACUUGAGUAAAUGCAAAGCAGUGAGAUUGCUGGGUCAUACACUUCUAGACUUCCCAUGUUCCAAGUCCACUUCUGCCGGCAGAAUAGAAACCUCGUCAGUUAUCACAACUCAGGGAGGACAAAUGGAUUCCUGAGGUGCAGGGCAAUCAACAGAUGAGAUCCAAGAGUCAGAACCCUGGAAUGGACCACCAGAACUUUCCCAUGGAGCCCCAGGACUUCUUCCCCCAAUUCCUGCUGUUUCUCCUCCUCCCUGUAGCAGGCUUCUUAAAGCAGGAUGAAAAAGCCUCACAGCUUGCGGUGUUGACAGUAUUCUAGAAGACCCUACACCCCUGUGGCUUCUCGAUGACUAAUGUGGAGCCAGCAUCUGUCAGCACAAACUCAGAGUGAUUACCCAGAAAUAGGUAUCCUUCUAAUUAAAAUAUCUGACCAUGUCCCCAUCAGCCACUUGCCUCAUUUGGGACACCACCAACCAUCCUGCACGGCUGCCCAUGUUUCUGUUUCUCCAGCCCAAGCAUGCAGUUUCAGUAGGUCCUUCAGAGGCUGCCUGAAAGCAUCCCGCCUCCAGAGCCCUGUGGGUUGAAGACCGCUGUGCUCUUUUCUUUCGGCUUCACACGCUGGUUAGUCUUCUGUUUGCUUUGUCAGCACGGUACUUUUCAUUUCCUUCGUGGUGUUUUUAGGAGCUCCUGAAUUUCACAGACAAAUCCAGACCCCUGUGUGGAAAGCCUGCGGUGGUGUUCUCCGUCUUCCCACAGGACUCCCUGCAGCCAGGAAUUCUAGGGGAGCACCUGACGCGAGGUAUACGCCCAGAUGGCCUGAAGUAACUGAAGAAUCACAAAAGAAGUGAAAAUGUCCUGCCCCGCCUUAACUGAUGACAUUCCACCACAAAGGAAGUGUCAAUGGCUGGUCCUUGCCUUAACUGAUGACAUUCCACCGCAAAAGAAGUGAAAAUGGCCGGUCCUUGCCUUAACUGAUGACAUUACACCACAAAAGAAGUGAAAAUGGCCGGUCCUUGCCUUAAGUGAUGGCAUUACCUUGUGAAAGUCCUUUUCCUGGCUCAUUCUGGCUCAAAAUCACCCCCACUGAGCACCUUGUGACCCCCACUCCUGCCCGCCAGGGAACAAUCCCCCUUUGACUGUAAUUUUCCUUUACCUACCCAAAUCUUAUAAAAUGGCCCCACCCCUAUCUCCCUUUGCUGACUCUCUUUUUGGACUCAGCCUGCCUGCAUCCAGGUGAUUAAAAGCUUUUAUUGCUCACACA
rnacentral:lncRNA from 10 species